rnacentral:lncRNA from 1 species
UGUGUUGCCAAAAAAAGAGAGGUUUUUUGUUAAAAUAAAUAAAUGAUGGAGAACGUAUGAGAGUAAUUACGAGUUUCCUAACUCUCACAAAUUAAUUAUAAGCUAGUUAUCUUGAAAUAAAAAUUAUGAUUAAUAAUUACUAACUCAUAACUAUUAAAGAACAAUAAAAUAAAAUAAAAAAGCAAAAUAUGGAGAAUAAAAUAAUAAAAAUAAGAAGGAAUAUUUGUUAUGUUUAUACUAUAUUUGUUAUUUUUGUUUCUUCCAAAUUUGAUAAAGAAUAAAUGUGUUUUAUUAAACAUAAAAAUGACAAAGAAUAAUGUGUCAAAAUAUUCCUCGUAAAUGGUAUAAUUUUGAAGUAAGAAAAAGGAAAUCACUCUUAGUAUUUGUUUCUUUAGAUUCUAGAGCCUCAAAGUCAAGAGCGCUAGUUCAAAUUUUACAAUCACUGGAUAUCUAAAUUAGCCAACGAAAAUAAGGGCAUCUUCAAUCUCACUCUAUUUUUU